UGUGGAGGUGUGUGGUGGGGUGUGGAGGUGGUGUGGAGGUGGUGUAGUGGUGUGUGGAGGUGUGUAGUGGGAUGUGGAGGUGUGUAGUGGUGUGUGGAGGUGGUGUAGUGGUGUGUGGAGGUGGUGUAGUGGUGUGUGGAGGUGGUGUAGUGGUGUGUGGAGGUGGUGUAGUGGGGUGUGGAGGUGUGUAGUGGUGUGUGGAGGUGGUGUAGUGGGGUUUGGAGGUGGUGUAGUGGGGUGUGGAGGUGGUGUAGUGGUGUGUGGAGGUGGUGUAGUGGUGUGUGGAGGUGUGUGGAGGUGGUGUAGUGGUGUGUGGAGGUGUGUAGUGGUGUGUGGAGGUGUGUGGUGGUGUGUGGAGGCGUGUGGAGGUGGUGUAGUGGGGUGUGGAGGUGGUGUAGUGGUGUGUGGAGGUGUGGAGGUGGUGUGGUGUGGAGGUGGUGUAUGGAGGUGUGUGAUGGGGUGUGGAGGUGGUGUGGAGGUGGUGUAGUGGUGUGUGGAGGUGUGUGAUGGUGUGUGGUGGAGGUGGUGUGUGGAGGUGUGUGGUGGUGUGUGGAGGUGGUGUGUGGAGGUGGUGUAGUGUG
ensembl:lncRNA